UGGGGAAUCUUGGACAAUGGGCGCAAGCCUGAUCCAGCCAUGCCGCGUGAGUGACGAAGGUCUUCGGAUUGUAAAGCUCUUUUUGGCGGGGACGAUAAUGACGGUACCCGCAGAAUAAGCCCCGGCUAACUUCGUGCCAGCAGCCGCGGUAAUACGAAGGGGGCUAGCGUUGUUCGGAAUUACUGGGCGUAAAGCGCACGUAGGCGGAUCUAUAAGUCAGGGGUGAAAUCCCGGGGCUCAACCUCGGAACUGCCUUUGAUACUGUAGAUCUCGAGUCCGGAAGAGGUGAGUGGAGUUCCUAGUGUAGAGGUGAAAUUCGUAGAUAUCAGGAAGAACAUCAGUGGCGAAGGCGACUACCUGGACGAAGAUUGACGCUGAGGUGCGAAAGCGUGGGGAUCAAACAGGAUUAGAUACCCUCGUAGUCCCUGAGCGGGCUGGCAAGGCGCAU
rnacentral:rRNA from 1 species